UAACUCAUCGACCCGAAAGAGUACAUGAGCAUCAAUGGAGGAGCUUAGUCUAUUAUUGGGGCACUCGGAAGGCACAAAAAAAAAGUACAAAAAACAAAGAAAUUCGGAAGAAGAAGACAUUAAAUCACAUAACCGGCAGAAAACCAUUCUCGGUUGUUCGAGUAGAG